AGUGCCGCCCAGCCGCUUCUCUGCAGACAUGGCGCAGCCCCGGGCCCUGUUCGCUUUCGCCGUCUUCUGCUCAGCUUUCGUCGCCGCCCGAGCAGCCGCACCCAAUGCGACCUGCGACCUGCUGUUUGACGGCACCCCAAUCAGCGACUCCAGCUGGAAUAGCGCCCUCAAUGUGUCCAGAUACGUGGGCAAUCUCAAGGACGACACGGCUGCUGAAGCAGAGUAUCUGGUGCUGACCACCAAGGAGGUGACCGCCUUCACUUUCAACUCCCCGUCCGACUACGUCGACGUGAGGUUCGAUAAUCCCCCCAUCACGCUGAAACUUGUCGUCAUGGAGGCGUUCACCAAUUAUGAAGAGGACAUGAUCUCUGCCACAGAUCCGUCCAUAAUCGACGUCGGAGUCCAGUUUAGUUGCAGUGAUGGGAACACCGUUCCGUUUAUCUUCAGGAUCACAGUGGAGGACGUGAACAAGCAUGCGCCGGUGUUCGAACAGUCCAGCUACAACUGCACCCUGCCCAUGCCCUGCCCACCGGAUAGCGACCUCUCCUCCUUCAUGGUUGACAUCAACGUGCGGGACAUAGACUUCAGUAAUCAAGCCAUCACCAUCCAUUUCGACGAAGAGGGAGAGCAGCUGUUCACGGCAGAAACAACCUACAAGGGGAACAGAGUCUACGCCGUUCAGCUGUACAGCAAAGCGACGAUCAACCUCGCAGAGACCGCGAACUUCACUGUGACCGCCGUGGACAGCGGUACUCCAGCAUUGACAUCUGAUCCGGUCACCAUCGUCGUAAGUGGAUACAACGUCAACUAGAAACGGCACAAGAAAAAAACGUCGCAUGUGAUAAGCAGUCUUGUGAUGCAGAGGCAAGCUGAGAAGAACAUUAAGAACAAGAUAACUGAGGACUCAUCAAUGCUUCUUAUUCAAACAAAAACUAAACAAUGCAUCGCUAAAUAAACAUCAGCAAUUGUUCAUCUUAGAAUAAGUUCUAUGGCAAUUAUAGUUUCAUGUGUCACCUUACAGGAAACCAUUUUUUUUUCAAAUUUAUGCAUGCUGUAAAUAAUGUGAUGUAAGUUUGCUAUAAUGGAAAGACAAAGCAUGUAAUCAUGGAUAACCUUCAAGAGUGACUAGUUUUAUACAACUGUGAGGUACUUGCAGUAGGAUGAAUAUCAAAUGGCAACAUAGUAAGAAAGUAUUAUGGAUUUGGAACAAAGAAAUGAACUACGAAAUCAAGUGUUGACAUCAUAUUGACACAAAAGGGACGCUGAAGGGAGGACUACCUGAAGAGAAAAAAAAUUAAGUCUCCCUGUGUGGGUAUCACGUAAUUGUGCUAGGACUAUGGGAAGCCGACACUGCAUCAUAUGGAGAUGUGGUUUGGUUCUGGAAGAUUCCUCAGGUGCAACAGCGAUAUUGUCAACAAAGCCAAAAACUUAUGGGCUUUAUGUCUUCAGUCUUCUUCAUUCUGAGUAGUAUGGGAAAGUGAUGUGAAAUGGACAGCCUUGGCGGAAGAGUUGUUGUAAAUGGAGAUAAUGUGUGUCUGUAACACUUUUGAAGGCAGAAGUAUUUUGUGUUAAUACUUCAGUGUGUGCAAACAGUAGUGAAUAUACCUGUUUAAGAUCCUCAAUUUCUUUGGAACGUCAUUGGAAGCCACUGGAAGAACACAAUCCUUUUACUAGUUAAUGUUUCUUCAUGUCAUAAAUAGUCUCCACGACCAGUAUCUUGUCCUACAAAAAGCAGUAAGACCAACAAACAAAUAACACAAUAAGUCAUAUUUAAUAAGUAGGUGUGGAUAUGAGAGAUUCUAUGUAAUUCACUUAAAAUAAUGAUCAACGUCUUUUUCAAAGACAAUCACUGAACAUUAAGCAUUGAAGGCACUAGUACAAUAUGCUGAUGUUGAUAAUGUCCUGAUAGGACCAUGUGUGCUGUCUUUGUGUGACCCUCCACUGCUAUGUUUAACAGUGAGAACCCUUCAAUAGUUCCUGGUGGAAUUUUUUUUGCAUUGCCCCAGGCUAAAUGAAGGUUCCAUUGUAUUUGGGAUUGGAGGAGCAUCUGUAUGCUUGUUAAGGUACCAACAUUCACAACAAAGUGAAAUGCCUUUGUCUCACCUGUACUUUUCUUCAGGACAGCUAACACUGGCACUCCCAGGGACUGGUGCCAUCCUCAAAAAAAAAAAAA